AUACGGCCAUAUAACGUUGAAACAUCAGUUCUCGUACGAUCAUCCAAGUUAAGCAACGAUGAUCCUGGUCAGUACCUAGAUGGGUGACCGCUUGGGAAUAUAAGGUG